rnacentral:rRNA from 1 species
CCUACGGGAGGCAGCAGUGAGGAAUAUUGGUCAAUGGGCGAGAGCCUGAACCAGCCAAGUCGCGUGCAGGACGACGGCCCUAUGGGUUGUAAACUGCUUUUGUAUGGGGAUAAAGUCAAUCACGUGUGAUUGUUUGCAGGUACCAUACGAAUAAGGACCGGCUAAUUCCGUGCCAGCAGCCGCGGUAAUACGGAAGGUUCAGGCGUUAUCCGGAUUUAUUGGGUUUAAAGGGAGCGUAGGCCGGAGAUUAAGUGUGUUGUGAAAUGUAGACGCUCAACGUCUGACUUGCAGCGCAUACUGGUUUCCUUGAGUACGCACAACGUUGGCGGAAUUCGUCGUGUAGCGGUGAAAUGCUUAGAUAUGACGAAGAACUCCGAUUGCGAAGGCAGCUGACGGGAGCGCCACUGACGCUUAAGCUCGAAGGUGCGGGUAUCAAACAGGAUUAGAUACCCGAGUAGUC